rnacentral:rRNA from 1 species
GUAGGGAAUAUUGGGCAAUGGAUGCAAGUCUGACCCAGCCAUCCCGCGUGCCGGAAGAAGGCCCUCAGGGUUGUAAACGGCUUUUGACGGUGAAGAAUCGACCGGAUGCGUCCUGUUUUGACGGUAGCCGUUGAAUAAGCACCGGCUAACUCCGUGCCAGCAGCCGCGGUAAUACGGAGGGUGCGAGCGUUGUCCGGAUUUAUUGGGUUUAAAGGGUACGUAGGCUGGCAGGUCAGUCAGUGGUGAAAAGCUGUCGCUUAACGAUAGUCUUGCCGCAGAUACUUCCUUUCUUGGAUGAGGAGGAGGCCACUGGAACGGAUAGUGUAGCGGUGAAAUGCAUAGAUAUCAUCCAGAACACCGAUUGCGAAGGCAGGUGGCUGUACCUUAAUCGGCGCUGAUGCACGAAAGCAUGGGGAGCAAACAGGAUUAGAUACCCGGGUAGUCC